rnacentral:rRNA from 1 species
UAGUCAACAUGCCCAGGGGACGUGGAUAACCUCGGGAAACUGAGGAUAAACCGCGAUAGGUCACUACUUCUGGAAUGGGUAAUGACCCAAACCUAUAUGGCCCCUGGAUUGGACUGCGGCCGAUCAGGCUGUUGGUGAGGUAAUGGCCCACCAAACCUGUAACCGGUACGGGCUCUGAGAGGAGGAGCCCGGAGAUGGGCACUGAGACAAGGGCCCAGGCCCUAUGGGGCGCAGCAGGCGCGAAACCUCUGCAAUAGGCGAAAGCUUGACAGGGUUACUCUGAGUGAUUUCCGUUAAGGAGAUCUUUUGGCGCCUCUAAAAAUGGUGCAGAAUAAGGGGUGGGCAAGUCUGGUGUCAGCCGCCGCGGUAAUACCAGCACCCCGAGUGGUCGGGACGUUUAUUGGGCCUAAAGCAUCCGUAGCCGGUUCUACAAGUCUUCCGUUAAAUCCACCUGCUCAACAGAUGGGCUGCGGAAGAUACUAUGGAGCUAGGAGGCGGGAGAGGCAAGCGGUACUCGAUGGGUAGGGGUAAAAUCCGUUGAUCCAUUGAAGACCACCAGUGGCGAAGGCGGCUUGCCAGAACGCGCUCGACGGUGAGGGAUGAAAGCUGGGGGAGCAAACCGGAUUAGAUACCCGGGUAGUCCCAGCUGUAAACGAUGCAGACUCGGUGAUGAGUUGGCUUUAUGCCAACUCAGUGCCGCAGGGAAGCCGUUAAGUUUGCCGCCUGGGGAGUACGGUCGCAAGACUGAAACUUAAAGG